GUCCCUGUAGCGCAAUGGAUUGCCUGUUGGACUUCUAAUCCAAAGGUCGUGGGUUCGAAUCCAGCCUGGGAUG